UCUGGUGGCGAUGGCGGGGAGGAAACACCCGAUCCCAUUCCGAACUCGGUAGUUAAGCUCCCCUGCGCCGAUGAUACUGCGCCUUAAGGUGUGGGAAAGUAGGUCACUGCCAGGA
rnacentral:rRNA from 1 species